CAGCCGCACCAGACUUUUUUUUUCUUUUCCCCUUAUCUCUUUCUUAUUCCUUCUUCAGUUAUUCUCCACCGUCUCCCUCACAUCGCGUCGCCGCGACUCCGGUCGGCGCGCCACCACUAUUCGACUUCUCUCACCUUUCUCUAUCUAUCCAUGGUCUCAAUUCAUACAUGGGGUAACUUUCGGAGGAGAUCGAUGGAUUAGCUUGAUGUCCCCAAUCUGCAAAUUCUUCGAUUCCAGGACUCCUCCUUCAUUUUUGACUGGUAAUUUCUUGCUUCCUUUUCCAUUCUCUACAUCCUAAAGUCCUUGAAUCUCCAAUUUAAUCGAAUUCUAGGCAAAUCCCUCUUUUCUACAUAUUCUUGUUUUCUCCGUCGUUAUGCCCUAAUGCCCUUCUCCGCCACUUCGAAUGGCCGAGUCCGCCUUGCUACUCAUCGCCACAAUUAGCACCAAACUCAGUCGUCAAACUGUUUGGGAAAAGAAGUUCUGGUAUUUUGGAUGCUUGCUGGCUUGGAGCAGACAACUGAGACAAGGAAUGAAGAACAUCUGAAUUGAAUUGUUUUUUCUAUUAAUCUUGCUGAGAGCACAAUUUGGGACUUUGAAUUGUUUUUGAACUUUUUUAUGUUUUCUGGUUUAUGUUGAACUGUUGAAGUAUUAAACUUGCAACUUGGGACUUUAAAAUUUGGUCUUUUUUUUUGAACUGGUGUGAAUGUGUGAUCGUAUGAAUAUGUAUUUGUUAAGCACCUGAGCUGCUGCACAGAUUGCUAAAUUGUGAAAUGACUCAAUGAGAACUUAGUUAGUUAGUCACUUUGUUGAAAUUAUGUAUAUAUGUAUUGUUGGGAUUAUUUAUAUUGCAUUAUUGCUUAUCUAGUUAUCAACUCAUUCUGCUACUAUGCUGCAUAAUUUUGCUGCAUCAUGCCAUCAUUUUCGAUUCUCCUCUUUCUUUUCUCUCUAGCUUUUCAAUUUAAAAUAACUGAGCUGUAAGUCGAUUCCUUUGCUUCCAAAUAACUUCUGCUUGCUGCGGAUUAAUGUGGGAUUUUUAUGGUUGGGAAUGUUACAGGAGGUCACAUCAAUGGAUUUGCUCCUCAGCAAUGGAAUUUGAUGAAAAAAAUGGAAUUUGUGAGUAUGUAGUUCACUCUAGUUUAACGUUUUAAGGGGCUUUGCAGUCAAAUUCAUAUGCAAAAGAGUACUUUGAAAAGGAUGCCGAGAAUCGAGACACUGGCAGGCACUAGAACUUGGGAAUGCUUUAUCUAAGAGGGAUCAUGGUACUGACAUCUCUUGAUCUUUUACCACGUAAGAGAGAAUUUGCUAAAAAUGCUAACUGCUUAUAUAGGAAUGCUUCAUUCUAGAAGUACAUUCUCUUUUGAGCCUUAGCUAUUAAGUUGUGAACAUUUUCAGUUGUAUAUUUGGAUUUUCGAUGUAUGAAUACUAGAAUGAUAUGGAAUCAUGGUUUUGUCAUGAU